UACAGAGGGUGCGAGCGUUGUUCGGAUUUACUGGGCGUAAAGGGCGCGUAGGCGGCCACCGCAAGUCGACUGUGAAAUCUCCGGGCUUAACCCGGAAAGGUCAGCCGAUACUGCGGGGCUAGAGUGCAGAAGGGGCAACUGGAAUUCUCGGUGUAGCGGUGAAAUGCUUAGAUAUCGUCAAGAACACCUAUUGCGAAGGCAGCUAACUAAGCUCAAACUGACGCUGAGGCACGAAAGUGUGGGGAUCAAACAGG
rnacentral:rRNA from 1 species